CCUACGGGAGGCAGCAGUGGGGAAUAUUGGACAAUGGGGGCAACCCUGAUCCAGCCAUGCCGCGUGUGUGAAGAAGGCCCUCGGGUUGUAAAGCACUUUCAGUGAGGAAGAACGCCUGGUGGUUAAUACCCAUCAGGAAAGACAUCACUCACAGAAGAAGCACCGGCUAACUCCGUGCCAGCAGCCGCGGUAAUACGGAGGGUGCGAGCGUUAAUCGGAAUUACUGGGCGUAAAGUGCGCGUAGGUGGCUUGAUAAGCCGGUUGUGAAAGCCCCGGGCUCAACCUGGGAACGGCAUCCGGAACUGUCAAGCUAGAGUGCAGGAGAGGAAGGUAGAAUUCCCGGUGUAGCGGUGAAAUGCGUAGAGAUCGGGAGGAAUACCAGUGGCGAAGGCGGCCUUCUGGACUGACACUGACACUGAGGUGCGAAAGUGUGGGUAGCAAACAGGAUUAGAUACCCCUGUAGUC
rnacentral:rRNA from 1 species